ACAAAAGCUGCGAUUGGAAGAGUAGUCUGUAUUUAGCUUAAAGAGAGACGGCCAUUGGUGGGAGGCUGUCAGCGAGUUACAGGUGAAGAUCACCCAUGAGCUUGUUGUCUGAAUCGAGUAGGGCAUCACGUAGAAAUGCGUUAAAUUAAAUGAGUGAUAGAGGAAACUCUAUAAUUUGGGUGGUAACACGGUGAUUCGUCCCUAAG
rnacentral:ncRNA from 1 species